GAAAGACUAUGACUUAACAAUUAACUGAUAGCCUUUUCCUCCCCAACAG
rnacentral:miRNA from 1 species